ACGGAAGGCAGCAGUGGGGAAUAUUGCACAAUGGGGGAAACCCUGAUGCAGCGACGCCGCGUGAGUGAAGAAGUUAUUCGUAAUGUAAAGCUCUAUCAGCAGGGAAGAAAAUGACGGUACCUGACUAAGAAGCCCCGGCUAACUACGUGCCAGCAGCCGCGGUAAUACGUAGGGGGCAAGCGUUAUCCGGAUUUACUGGGUGUAAGGGGAGCGUAGACGGUCUAGCAAGUCUGAUGUGAAAGGCAGGGGCUCAACUCCUGGACUGCAUUGGAAACUGUUAGUCUUGAGUGUCGGAGAGGUAAGCGGAAUUCCUAGUGUAGCGGUGAAAUGCGUAGAUAUUAGGAGGAACACCAGUGGCGAAGGCGGCUUACUGGACGAUAACUGACGUUGAGGCUCGAAAGCGUGGGGAGCAAACAGGAUUAGAUACCCUGGUA
rnacentral:rRNA from 1 species